UUUAUUCAUAAUGAGGUGAGACAUCGCCCAGGCUUUGAGACAAACUUUAACUUUCCAUAUGAACGCUUCUCUAAAGCAGGUCGCGGGGGGGAGGGAACAAAGUUUAACCAGAAAUAAUUUCUCCGAGCAUAAACUGAGGUUAGCGGGCCUAUCAGCUCUUCCUCCUCGCUCCGCCACCGUUGCUGACCCGAGGAGCAGCCUGGAAAGCAGCCGCCCUCCCGCAAACAGCAGAAUGACGCAUCAUCCAUCAAAAAUGUGAGUGUGAGGAUGAUGGGACCAUUCUGGCACACUGAGCAGCAGGGCCCUCCGAGCCCUCAGAUGUCGUCCAGCCAGGUGUGUGGGGGCCACUUGCCAUGCACAGCUUCUCUCAGCAGAGGUUGGUGAACCGUACUCCAACAGAAAGAGGAAAUAAGACUAUACCAUGUAAGAUGUCGGUCCACCUUGCUGUAAUGAAGCUCAAACUAGCUACAUGGAAGAAAGAGAGGCUACAUGGAGGUGCAUGAAGUCCCCAGACAUAUGAGUGAAAUAUUUUUGGAUUUUCCAGCCUAUUUCAGCUGCCAGCUGGAUGUAGCCACGUGGAAGCCAUCUUGGACAUUCCAACUCUAGCUGAUGUCAUACAGAACAGAAGAAUGGCCCUGCUGAACACUGCCUAAAUUUCUGGCCCACAGA